GCCAGCGUUUGAGAUAGUACCUCAGGACCUUGCAUCUGUUUUCCUGGCAAGAUAAUCAAGCAAUGUCAGGCACAAAUAGUUUAGACCCUUAGUAAAGGUUGUCCUAGCGUUCUGGAGUGUAGCUGGUGCUACUGUGAGGAGGAAAGGAGCAGGGUGAAGGGGCAUUUGAAAGAGGACCUGUGUAUCAGUAGGUACGUAUUUAGUAACAAUCUCACUUAUAAACCUAUGGAUUUUUACAGAAAUCUAAAUCCCAACCAAAGAAAGAAGGAGUUGUCUAUCCAGUUCUUUUCCCUCUUAGCCCAUGGCCAAGUUUAAUUUCUGCUCCAAACCAACACUGAAGGAGAGAAAAAAGCAACAACAACAAAACACCCUUUUGCUCCCUGAAGCACACAAUGGACGCAUUGAUCUGAGAACAAGUCAGUUCAAUUGCUUGCUUUACCUUGCUGCUGGGAAAAAAAAGCAAAAAGCUCCUAUGAAAACACAGCUUGUGGGAAAAGGUGCGAUUACUCUAAAAAGCUUUUCUUUGUUUCUGCAGACACGCUACUCCACAGAGCUGGAGUUGUGUAGUGAGCAGGACACGGAGCUAAAAGUCAGGACUCACAGAUUGUUCCUGGUUAAGCUACUGAGCCAACCUGUGGCCUGGGAAUGCCCAGCAGUCUUCUCCGGGUACCCAUAGGAAAAACAGAGGUGAACACAGUGAUUCCGCGUGGCCAUAUUCUUGGAUUUCUGCCCUUCAGCUUUGAAGGAUAUCACCGUGAUCCCCCUGAAGACACAGAGAAGAGAAUCUUCCUUCUCUACCUUUUGGAUUGGAUGAAAGACUGAGACCUGUAACCAGCGAGGCUGAUGUUUCUGUGCACACCUUAGUUAGCUAUGCAGCCAGGUUUUCCCAUAUAGAAGGGGCAAUACUAGGGUAGACUUUCUGUUCACAUGUUCGAAGCUGAACUAAAACUUCACAGACCUUUUUUUUCCAGGGUAUGAGUGCCAUAAACCUGAAUCAGACUUUCAGAUGCCACAUCCAUUGGCAUCUUGAAGAAGAAAUUCAAGAAAAUGGACCGAGGCAGCCCUGGCAGCAUCUAUCCCCUCUUUACGGUGAGGGAAAUCCCGGCUAAGGCUGCACUUUCUCAGCUACUUUCCUGCACGGUGAACAUUGCAUUUCUGGAAUCUGCUGUGGCUUUGGGUCACGCACGGAGACAAGAAUCAUCUUCUUUUCAGGAUUUAGUAGACCAGGAAGACUUUUUCCCCUUCUUCUUUAUUAAAUCAUACAUAAUUUGAUGUUAAAUUCAACUCUUCCUGUUGUUUCGGAGAUGGGCAGAAUCCUUAAACUCAGAAAAUAUUACAAUAGGUAUUAAGUGAUACCACAUUAUAAAGAAUAUGAAGUUGAACUGCGAUUCAUGACAUGCCAAGAAAUGGUAAAACCAGGCCUGUUAAGACUUAUAGUCAUCACCUCCAACCUUUAGAGAGUUGAGGCUGGGCAUGGCGACUCGUGCCUGUAAUUCCAGUAGUUUGGGAGGCGAAGGUGGGAGGAUCACCUGCACCUAGGAGUUCAAGACCAGCCAUGGUAACACAGUGGGACCCUUGUCUCCACAAAUAAAACAUUAGUCCCAGCUACUUGGGAGGCUUAGGUGGGAGGAUUGCUUGAGUCCAGGAGGUUGAGGCUGCAGUGAGCUAUGAUCGCGCCACUGCACUCCAGCCUGGGCAACAGAGCAAGAGACACUGUCUCCAAAAAAAAAAAAAAAA
rnacentral:lncRNA from 1 species